ACAUGCAAGUCGAACGCUUCUUUUUCCACCGGAGCUUGCUCCACCGGAAAAAGAGGAGUGGCGAACGGGUGAGUAACACGUGGGUAACCUGCCCAUCAGAAGGGGAUAACACUUGGAAACAGGUGCUAAUACCGUAUAACAAUCAAAACCGCAUGGUUUUGAUUUGAAAGGCGCUUUCGGGUGUCGCUGAUGGAUGGACCCGCGGUGCAUUAGCUAGUUGGUGAGGUAACGGCUCACCAAGGCCACGAUGCAUAGCCGACCUGAGAGGGUGAUCGGCCACAUUGGGACUGAGACACGGCCCAAACUCCUACGGGAGGCAGCAGUAGGGAAUCUUCGGCAAUGGACGAAAGUCUGACCGAGCAACGCCGCGUGAGUGAAGAAGGUUUUCGGAUCGUAAAACUCUGUUGUUAGAGAAGAACAAGGAUGAGAGUAACUGUUCAUCCCUUGACGGUAUCUAACCAGAAAGCCACGGCUAACUACGUGCCAGCAGCCGCGGUAAUACGUAGGUGGCAAGCGUUGUCCGGAUUUAUUGGGCGUAAAGCGAGCGCAGGCGGUUUCUUAAGUCUGAUGUGAAAGCCCCCGGCUCAACCGGGGAGGGUCAUUGGAAACUGGGAGACUUGAGUGCAGAAGAGGAGAGUGGAAUUCCAUGUGUAGCGGUGAAAUGCGUAGAUAUAUGGAGGAACACCAGUGGCGAAGGCGGCUCUCUGGUCUGUAACUGACGCUGAGGCUCGAAAGCGUGGGGAGCAAACAGGAUUAGAUACCCUGGUAGUCCACGCCGUAACAAAAAAAUGCUAAAUGUUGGAAGGGUUUCCGCCCUUCAGUGCUGCAGCUAACGCAUUAAGCACUCCGCCUGGGGAGUACGACCGCAAGGUUGAAACUCAAAGGAAUUGACGGGGGCCCGCACAAGCGGUGGAGCAUGUGGUUUAAUUCGAAGCAACGCGAAGAACCUUACCAGGUCUUGACAUCCUUUGACCACUCUAGAGAUAGAGCUUCCCCUUCGGGGGCAAAGUGACAGGUGGUGCAUGGUUGUCGUCAGCUCGUGUCGUGAGAUGUUGGGUUAAGUCCCGCAACGAGCGCAACCCUUAUUGUUAGUUGCCAUCAUUCAGUUGGGCACUCUAGCAAGACUGCCGGUGACAAACC
rnacentral:rRNA from 1 species